rnacentral:rRNA from 1 species
GACGAACGCUGGCGGCGUGCUUAACACAUGCAAGUCGAACGCUGAACCCGCUUCGGUGGGGGAUGAGUGGCGAACGGGUGAGUAACACGUGGGCAACCUGCCCCCGGCUCUGGGAUAACUCCAAGAAAUUGGGGCUAAUACCGGAUGUGACCGCUGGCCGCAUGGUCUGGUGGUGGAAAGGGUUUCCGGCUGGGGAUGGGCCCGCGGCCUAUCAGCUUGUUGGUGGGGUAGUGGCCUACCAAGGCGACGACGGGUAGCCGGCCUGAGAGGGUGACCGGCCACACUGGGACUGAGACACGGCCCAGACUCCUACGGGAGGCAGCAGUGGGGAAUAUUGCGCAAUGGGCGGAAGCCUGACGCAGCGACGCCGCGUGGGGGAUGACGGCCUUCGGGUUGUAAACCUCUUUCAGCAGGGACGAAGCGCAAGUGACGGUACCCGCAGAAGAAGCACCGGCCAACUACGUG